GAUUGCUAGAAGUAGCCACAACGAUGCCUUACGAUGUCGAGGCGAGAAUAAAUGGUAUAGGCAAAGGAAAUAUGCUGGUAUAUGACCGC
rnacentral:misc_RNA from 1 species